GUGCAGCAGUCGAGAAUUUUUCUCAAUGGGGGCAACCCUGAAGGAGCGACGCCGCGUGGAGGAUGAAGGCUUUCGGGUUGUAAACUCCUGUCAUUUGAGAACAAGUGUGGGCAAGUAACUACUGCCUACUUGAUAGUAUCAGAAGAGGAAGAGACGGCUAACUCUGUGCCAGCAGCCGCGGUAAUACAGAGGUCUCAAGCGUUGUUCGGAUUCAUUGGGCGUAAAGGGUGCGUAGGUGGCGCGCUAAGUCAGGUGUGAAAUCUCGGGGCUUAACUCCGAAACUGCAUUUGAUACUGGCGUGCUUGAGGACUGGAGAGGAGACUGGAAUUCAUGGUGUAGCAGUGAAAUGCGUAGAGAUCAUGAGGAAGACCAGUGGCGAAGGCGGGUCUCUGGACAGUUCCUGACACUGAGGCACGAAGGCCAGGGGAGCAAACGGGAUUAGAUACCCCUGUAGU
rnacentral:rRNA from 1 species